rnacentral:rRNA from 1 species
AUUGAACGCUGGCGGCAUGCCUUACACAUGCAAGUCGAACGGCAGCACGGGUGCUUGCACCUGGUGGCGAGUGGCGAACGGGUGAGUAAUACAUCGGAACAUGUCCUGUAGUGGGGGAUAGCCCGGCGAAAGCCGGAUUAAUACCGCAUACGAUCCACGGAUGAAAGCGGGGGACCUUCGGGCCUCGCGCUAUAGGGUUGGCCGAUGGCUGAUUAGCUAGUUGGUGGGGUAAAGGCCUCCCAAGGCGACGAUCAGUAGCUGGUCUGAGAGGACGACCAGCCACCCUGGGACUGAGACACGGCCCAGACUCCUACGGGAGGCAGCAGUGGGGAAUUUUGGACAAUGGGCGAAAGCCUGAUCCAGCAAUGCCGCGUGUGUGAAGAAGGCCUUCGGGUUGUAAAGCACUUUUGUCCGGAAAGAAAUCCUUGGCUCUAAUACAGUCGGGGGAUGACGGUACCGGAAGAAUAAGCACCGGCUAACUACGUG